CGAACGCUGGCGGCGCGUUUAAGCAUGCAAGUCGAGCGGCAAGGGCCUUCGGGCCCUAGAGCGGCGGACGGGUGAGUAACACGUGGACAAUCUGCCCCCCGGCCCGGGAUAGCCCAGGGAAACCUGGAUUAAUACCGGAUGAGACGGGACCCGCGAUGGCGGGAUCCGGGAAAGGCGCUGCGGCGCCGCCGGGGGAUGAGUCUGCGUCCCAUUAGCUAGACGGCGGGGUAACGGCCCACCGUGGCGACGAUGGGUAGCCGGCCUGAGAGGGUGGACGGCCACAUUGGAACUGAGACACGGUCCAGACUCCUACGGGAGGCAGCAGCUAAGAAUCUUCCGCAAUGGGCGAAAGCCUGACGGAGCCGACGCCGCGUGAACGAAGAAGGCCGUGAGGUUGUAAAGUUCUUUUCGGGAGGGGAACAACCGUGGCAGGGAAUGGCCGCGGGAUGACGUGAAUCCCGGAAUAAGCCCCGGCUAACUACGUGCCAGCCGCCGC
rnacentral:rRNA from 1 species